GACGAACGCUGGCGGCGUGCCUAAUACAUGCAAGUCGAACGAACCGCGACUAGGUGCUUGCACUUGGUCAAGGUGAGUGGCGAACGGGUGAGUAACACGUGGGUAACCUACCUCAUAGUGGGGGAUAACAGUCGGAAACGACUGCUAAUACCGCAUAGGACAUAGGCUCACAUGAUCCAGUGAGGAAAGGUGGCGCAAGCUAUCGCUAAGAGAUGGACCCGCGGUGCAUUAGCUAGUUGGUAGGGUAAAGGCCUACCAAGGCGAUGAUGCAUAGCCGACCUGAGAGGGGGAUCGGCCACAUUGGGACUGAGACACGGCCCAAACUCCUACGGGAGCAGCAGUGGGGAAUCUUCCGCAAUGGACGCAAGUCUGACGGAGCAACGCCGCGUGAGUGAAGAAGGUCUUCGGAUCGUAAAGCUCUGUUGUUAGAGAAGAACAGCGCAUAGAGUAACUGUUAUGCGUGUGACGGUAUCUAACCAGAAAGCCACGGCUAACUACGUG
rnacentral:rRNA from 1 species